CAUACAUAUGCAGAAACAGGUGUUUUUCUUUGAAAGACUUAAAAGGGAAGUUGGUGCAAAUUCCAACGCGGUCCCGCCACUGUAAAUGGGAGCAAGCUGCAGAAGCCACUGUACGGGAUGUAUGGGAAGGGGCAGCGAGCAUUGACCAUGAGCCAGGAGACCUGCCUGAUUCUUAUGCACCCA
rnacentral:ncRNA from 2 species